AUUGAACGCUGGCGGCAGGCUUAACACAUGCAAGUCGAGCGGGGUGAUGGUGCUUGCACUAUCACUUAGCGGCGGACGGGUGAGUAAUGCUUAGGAAUCUGCCUAUUAGUGGGGGACAACAUCUCGAAAGGGAUGCUAAUACCGCAUACGUCCUACGGGAGAAAGCAGGGGAUCUUUAUGACCUUGCGCUAAUAGAUGAGCCUAAGUCGGAUUAGCUAGUUGGUGGGGUAAAGGCCUACCAAGGCGACGAUCUGUAGCGGGUCUGAGAGGAUGAUACGCACACUGGGACUGGGACACGGCCCAGACGCCUACGGGAGGCAGCAGUGGGGAAUAUUGGACAAUGGGGGGAACCCUGAUCCAGCCAUGCCGCGUGUGUGAAGAAGGCCUUAUGGUUGUAAAGCACUUUAAGCGAGGAGGAGGCUCUUUUGGUUAAUACCCAGAAUGAGUGGACGUUACUCGCAGAAUAAGCACCGGCUAACUCUGUGCCAGCCGCCGCCGUAA
rnacentral:rRNA from 1 species